UACGAAGGGGGGCUAGCGUUGUUCGGAAUUACUGGGCGUAAAGCGCACGUAGGCGGGUCGUUAAGUCAGGGGUGAAAUCCCGGAGCUCAACUCCGGAACUGCCUUUGAUACUGGCGAUCUAGAGGUCGAGAGAGGUGAGUGGAAUUCCGAGUGUAGAGGUGAAAUUCGUAGAUAUUCGGAAGAACACCAGUGGCGAAGGCGGCUCACUGGCUCGAUACUGACGCUGAGGUGCGAAAGCGGUGGGGAGCAAACAGG
rnacentral:rRNA from 1 species